GGUAAGUUUCCGCAAUGGGCGAAAGCCUGACGGAGCAAUACCGCGUGAGGGAGGAAGGCUCUUGGGUCGUAAACCUCUUUUCUCAGGGAAGAACACAAUGACGGUACCUGAGGAAUAAGCAUCGGCUAACUCCGUGCCAGCAGCCGCGGUAAUACGGAGGAUGCAAGCGUUAUCCGGAAUGAUUGGGCGUAAAGCGUCCGCAGGUGGCGAUGUAAGUCUGCUGUUAAAGAGUCUAGCUCAACUAGAUAAGAGCAGUGGAAACUACAUAGCUAGAGUACGUUCGGGGCAGAGGGAAUUCCUGGUGUAGCGGUGAAAUGCGUAGAGAUCAGGGAGAACACCAGUGGCGAAGGCGCUCUGCUAGGCCGUAACUGACACUGAGGGACGAAAGCUAGGGGAGCGAAUGGGAUUAGAUACCCCAGUAGUCCUAGCCGUAAACGAUGGAUACUAGGCGUGGCUUGUAUCGACCCGAGCCGUGCCGUAGCUAACGCGUUAAGUAUCCC
rnacentral:rRNA from 1 species